rnacentral:rRNA from 1 species
CACGUAGGGCGCAAGCGUUGUCCGGAAUUAUUGGGCGUAAAGAGCUCGUAGGCGGUCUGUUACGUCUGCUGUGAAAACCCGGGGCUUAACCCUGGGCUUGCAGUGGAUACGGGCAGACUAGAGGCAGGUAGGGGAGAAUGGAAUUCCCGGUGUAGCGGUGAAAUGCGCAGAUAUCGGGAGGAACACCGGUGGCGAAGGCGGUUCUCUGGGCCUGUACUGACGCUGAGGAGCGAAAGCGUGGGGAGCGAACAGG